rnacentral:lncRNA from 1 species
UGCUGGUUUGCACCUCCAAAUUUGUCCCCCAUAAUACAGAUAGCCUUUACAAAGCCGAGGCCUGUUAUAUUGUUUAUUUUCAAACUUAAUCGUGAUCGGACUAUUAAGUUUCGCGACAGUUUAGGAAAGAGAAACACCUCAUUAUUUUGGACUCACACUCAUCCUGUCACUUGGAAGGCGAUGCAAUGUUCUAAAUAUGAACCGGCCUUGUUCUACGAACCAGCACCUUAAAUUGCCAGGGACUCAAAGGCUCGGCUCCAGACCGCACAAGUCGGAAACACCUGCUGCUGCGUUUUUCCCCCUGUAAAGAGCAGCUCUGUCUUGCGCUGCCCCUCUGGUUUCAGGAUCAGGGUACUCAGGAACCGGGCCAGUCGCUGCUGGGUCGCACGCUCAGCGGUGCCGUGUGCCCGCUCCCCCGUGGGGUGGGUGGGAACCGCUCGGCCGAGAACCCCACGCCUGUGUGAGCUCAACGAAUACAUUUUCCCCGGGAGGAAACCGCCCUCGUUUACCUCCGGAAGCUUCUGAUCCACCGUCUGGUCGUCAACUGUGUCUUUCCACCAGAUGGCAACAACCGGGAAGACGCUGGCAAUUCGGAGUAUUUUAGGGCAAACGAAGAGGGAAAAAGCCUGAGGAGCUGCUGGUGGAACACGUGGGCCUUCACUUCCCCUCCACCUGUACAUCCACUCUGACUUUAGGUAUGCAAUGCAGAUUCGGCCUGUGCCGUCUUGCACAAAUAAUUUUCAGUGUGCUGUGGGUCAUCUUUACUACAUAGAUAGAUCUCUUACAUGAUAGGUUUUAUGUACAAAGACUUUCUUCCAUAAAAUAGCCAUCAUUCUCUCUUGCUCUGGGUUCUAUUUUCUAGGAACUAUAAAUUCCUCUGGGAGUGGCACAGGCCCGUAAUCCUAGCACUUAGGGAGGCUGAGGCAGGAGGAUCGCAAAUUGAAGACCAGCCUGGGCAAUUUAGCCGUGCAAGACUCUGUCUCAAAAGAAAAAAUAGGGACGUA